UACGUAGGGUGCAAGCGUUGUCCGGAAUUACUGGGCGUAAAGAGUUCGUAGGCGGUUUGUCGCGUCGUUUUGUGAAAACCAGCAGCUCAACUGCUGGCUUGCAGGCGAUACGGGCAGACUUGAGUACUGCAGGGGAGACUGGAAUUCCUGGUGUAGCGGUGAAAUGCGCAGAUAUCAGGAGGAACACCGGUGGCGAAGGCGGGUCUCUGGGCAGUUACUGACGCUGAGGAGCGAAAGCAUGGGGAGCGAACAGG
rnacentral:rRNA from 1 species